rnacentral:rRNA from 1 species
GGGCAGGGCGGCGUGCUAAUACAUGCAGUCGAGCGAAUGGAUUAAGAGCUUGCUCUUAUGAAGUUAGCGGCGGACGGGUGAGUAACACGUGGGUAACCUGCCCAUAAGACUGGGAUAACUCCGGGAAACCGGGGCUAAUACCGGAUAACAUUUUGAACCGCAUGGUUCGAAAUUGAAAGGCGGCUUCGGCUGUCACUUAUGGAUGGACCCGCGUCGCAUUAGCUAGUUGGUGAGGUAACGGCUCACCAAGGCAACGAUGCGUAGCCGACCUGAGAGGGUGAUCGGCCACACUGGGACUGAGACACGGCCCAGACUCCUACGGGAGGCAGCAGUAGGGAAUCUUCCGCAAUGGACGAAAGUCUGACGGAGCAACGCCGCGUGAGUGAUGAAGGCUUUCGGG